AUUGAACGCUGGCGGCAGGCCUAACACAUGCAAGUCGAGCGGAUGAAGGGAGCUUGCUCCUGGAUUCAGCUGCGGACGGGUGAGUAAUGCCUAGGAAUCUGCCUGGUAGUUGGGGAUAACGUCCGGACACGGGCGCUAAUACCGCAUACGUCCUGAGGGAGAAAGUGGGGGAUCUUCGGACCUCACGCUAUCAGAUGACCCUAGGUCGGAUUAGCUAGUUGGUGGGGUAAAGGCCUACCAAGGCGACGAUCCGUAGCUGGUCUGAGAGGAUGAUCAGUCACACUGGAACUGAGACACGGUCCAGACUCCUACGGGAGGCAGCAGUGGGGAAUAUUGGACAAUGGGCGAAAGCCUGAUCCAGCCAUGCCGCGUGUGUGAAGAAGGUCUUCGGAUUGUAAAGCACUUUAAGUUGGGAGGAAGGGCAGUAAGUUAAUACCUUGCUGUUUUGACGUUACCAAAAGAAUAAGCACCGGCUAACUUCGUG
rnacentral:rRNA from 1 species